rnacentral:misc_RNA from 1 species
GAGCAUCUUCAAUUUUUGGGCACUGAUGAACAAAUCAUCUGCACUCAACGACCCAGAAGAACUUCAUCUGCCCAUACCAGUUCUUCCCAAGAGAAGCAAGAGAAGAAGCAGUAUGACAAGCAAGCGACAAGACAUCGUAUUGGGAAUGCAUUCCGUAACAGCUGGGGCAGAAAAGAUUCUGAGUACAAGAACUCAAAAAAGAACACCUCUAUGGCAG